rnacentral:rRNA from 1 species
CAGUCGAGCGGAUGAGAGGAGCUUGCUCCUCGAUUCAGCGGCGGACGGGUGAGUAAUGCCUAGGAAUCUGCCUAGUAGUGGGGGACAACGUUUCGAAAGGAACGCUAAUACCGCAUACGUCCUACGGGAGAAAGUGGGGGAUCUUCGGACCUCACGCUAUUAGAUGAGCCUAGGUCGGAUUAGCUAGUUGGUAGGGUAAAGGCCUACCAAGGCGACGAUCCGUAACUGGUCUGAGAGGAUGAUCAGUCACACUGGAACUGAGACACGGUCCAGACUCCUACGGGAGGCAGCAGUGGGGAAUAUUGGACAAUGGGCGAAAGCCUGAUCCAGCCAUGCCGCGUGUGUGAAGAAGGCCUUCGGGUCGUAAAGCACUUUAAGUUGGGAGGAAGGGCUCAUAGCGAAUACCUGUGAGUUUUGACGUUACCAACAGAAUAAGCACCGGCUAACUUCGUGCCAGCAGCCGCGGUAAUACGAAGGGUGCAAGCGUUAAUCGGAAUUACUGGGCGUAAAGCGCGCGUACGUGGCUUGGUAAGUUGGAUGUGAAAUCCCCGGGCUCAACCUGGGAACUGGAUCCCAAACUGGCUGGCUAAAAGGGUGUAGAAGGGACAGGGAAAUUCCCAUGGAUCCG